CAGCAGCCGCGGUAAUACCGGCGGCCCGAGUGGCGGUCACUAUUAUUGGGCUUAAAGCGUCCGUAGCCGGGUUGGGAAGUCCUCCGGGAAAUCUGGCCGCUUAACGGUCAGAAUGCCGGAGGAUACUCCCAGCCUAGGGAGCGGGAGAGGCCGAGGGGAUUCCCGGAGUAGGGGGGAAAUCCUAUAAUCCCGGGAGGACCACCUGGGGCGAAGGCGCUCGGCUGGAACGCGUCCGACGGUGAGGGACGAAGGCCAGGGGAGCAAACCGGAUUAGAUACCCGGGUAGUCCUGGCUGUAAACGAUGCGGACUUUGUGUCGGACAAGCUAUGAGCUUGUCCGGUGCCGGAGGGAAACCGUUAAGUCCGCCGCCUGGGGAGUACGGCCGCAAGGCUGAAACUUAAAGGAAUUGGCGGG
rnacentral:rRNA from 1 species